CGAUCCAUAAAGGAUCAUGCUCAAUAAACUGGACUCGAACUCUCCUUUGGAGUUAUUUCACUUACAGGGCCACUAGAAGAGGGACUAUCCCUACUCCAAUACUGGAGUGGGGCCAUCCACUCCUGCAGCCUGCCCUGAUGACCUAAUGGGACCUGUUCUUGUAGCCAAAGACUGAUGGGGCCCUCAGCUCUUGUGACCCCAGCCCACCACCACACAAGAGCCCGGGGAAACUCUUCUGCUCCAGGGGCACACUGGCAAUGAAGAGCUAUUUGUUCAAAAAAUUUAAUGAAACUCAGUAAAAUGGCAAAAAUUUGUGACAAUAAAAGCA
ensembl:lncRNA